rnacentral:lncRNA from 1 species
AAAAACCCUACCUCGCCUCCAUUUUUGUGUCCCCUUCCUUCUCCAUAUCCUUUGAUCUACUUCCCAUCACUGCUUAUCUCUCUCUGCUUCUUCUAUUUCAAACAAAUCGAACACUGCAACACACCGCGACGGUCGUUCCGAAGAUGAAUCUUAACUACAUCGCGAGAAGCUCUUCGAAUACCUUGAGAAAUUCAAUAGUUCCAAGAACAAAUCUCAGGUCAUUGUCUCCUCUAUAAUUUCAAUGUCUCUUCGUUUUUUUAUUUAGUGUUUUAGAUGGUGUUGUUGUUCAAGUUUUCUUUCAAUUAGGGUUUUGAACUGUCGUUUUUAGCACUCAGAUCUUUAGGGAUUUGUGUGUGUUGUUGUGAAGAAACACCUGCUUACUUGAUCUUCUACGGUUCUACUUUACACAAGAAAGUUUUUUGCCAACUAAUGAACUCUUUUUGCACAG